rnacentral:rRNA from 1 species
AUUGAACGCUGGCGGCAUGCCUUACACAUGCAAGUCGAACGGUAACGCGGGGCAACCUGGCGACGAGUGGCGAACGGGUGAGUAAUGUAUCGGAACGUGCCCAGUUGUGGGGGAUAACUGCUCGAAAGAGCAGCUAAUACCGCAUACGACCUGAGGGUGAAAGCGGGGGAUCGCAAGACCUCGCGCAAUUGGAGCGGCCGAUAUCAGAUUAGGUAGUUGGUGGGGUAAAGGCCCACCAAGCCAACGAUCUGUAGCUGGUCUGAGAGGACGACCAGCCACACUGGGACUGAGACACGGCCCAGACUCCUACGGGAGGCAGCAGUGGGGAAUUUUGGACAAUGGACGCAAGUCUGAUCCAGCCAUGCCGCGUGCGGGAAGAAGGCCUUCGGGUUGUAAACCGCUUUUGUCAGGGAAGAAACGCUCUGGGUUAAUACCUUGGGGUAAUGACGGUACCUGAAGAAUAAGCACCGGCUAACUACGUGCCAGCCGCCGCCGUAAUAC